rnacentral:rRNA from 1 species
GAUGAACGCUGGCGGCGUGCCUUAGGCAUGCAAGUCGAACGGGAAGUCUUCGGACUUCUAGUGGCGGAAGGGUGAGUAACGCGUGGGAACGUACCUAUUGAUGGAGAAUAGCUCGCCGAAAGGCGGGAUAAUUCUGCAUAAGACCGCAAGGUGAAAGGGCUUAACCGCCCGCCGAUAGAGCGGCCUGCGUCCUAUCAGCUUGUUGGUGAGGUAAAGGCUUACCAAGGCGAUGACGGGUAGCUGGGCUGAGAGGUCGGACAGCCACAAUGGAACUGAGACACGGUCCAUACAUCUGCGGAUGGCAGCAGUAAGGAAUAUUGGAAAAUGGAGGCAACUCUGAUCCAGCCAUGCCGCGUGAGUGAUGAAGGCCUUAGGGUUGUAAAGCUCUUUCGCACGCGACGAUGAUGACGGUAGCGUGAGAAGAAGCCCCGGCUAACUUCGUGCCAGCCGCCGCCGUAA